AGAGUUUGAUUAUGGCUCAGAAUGAACGCUGGCGGCAUGGAUUAGGCAUGCAAGUCGAACGUACUCCCUUCGGGGAGAAAGUGGCGAAAGGGUGAGUAACACGUGAGCAACCUGCCUCCGGAUCCGGAAUAAUCCAGGGAAACUUGGUCUAAAACCGGAUGAAGACAUUGGUCCGCAUGGUCUAAUGUUAAAAUAUUUAUAGUCCGGAGAGGGGCUCGCGGCCCAUUAGCUUGUUGGCGGGGUAAUGGCCCACCAAGGCUACGACGGGUAGGUGGUCUGAGAGGAUGGUCACCCACACUGGGACUGAGACACUGCCCAGACUCCUACGGGAGGCUGCAGUCGAGAAUCUUCCGCAAUGGGCGCAAAGCCUGACGGAGCGAUGCCGCGUGAGGGAUGAAGGCCUUCGGGUUGUAAACCUCUGUCAUCCGGGACGAAAACAAUGACGGUACCGGAAAAGGAAGCCACGGCUAACCACGUGCCAGCAGCCGC
rnacentral:rRNA from 1 species